UUUGGUAAAGAUGUUGAAUCCAUCUUCUUUUGAUAUCUUGUGUAAUCCUACUUUUUAUAUUUUUUUUAGUCAUUUAAGUACUGUAUACUUUGGGUUCUAUUAAAUUGGUGAACAAUUUAUGUUUAUUAUUUCAUGAGCUUAAUUUUUGAUAAAUGGUUAAUAUUAUAUCUUUACCAUUGACUAGUUUCAUGCUUGUUACUUAUACCGGUUAAAAAUAAGAAAUAGUAACAAAGACCAAUGAUGAGCUUUUUUCGUAACUAAUUGGAUAAAUCACUGGUGACUUUUGGUCGUCAAUACUUAGAUAAACAAGUGACAACUUUCUAUAGUCACUAAUCGUAUAAGAUAGUGACAACUUUUUCUGGUCACUAAUUAGACAAAACAUUGACGAAUUUUAUUGGUUAGUGACAAAACUAGUUGUCACAAAUUUAGUGACCAUUAUAUUUUCGUCACUAUUUAGUAACAACUUUUAUAUUUCGUCACUAAUCAGUUGUCGUGACGGACCUAUAGUGACGAAAAGUGAUGACCAAAAUUUUUUCACUAAAUAGUUUAGUGACGAGUCUUUCUAUUCUUAGUGACCAUUUCGUUUUCGUCACUAAUUGGCAUUUUAUUGUAGUAAAGGAAAAUUUGUACAAAUAUUUAUUGUUUUACAUUCUCCCGAGAUAAAAUCUAUAAGUGUAAGAAAGGUCAACGAAAAAAAAUUCAAUUUUAUGAAUGGUUUGUCGGAAAUUUCAUUUGGAUGAUUCUUGGAUUACUCACACUCGUUGUUUUGAUAUUUUGUACAUUAUGUUAUAUUUAUUGCAACAUUGCAUUUAAUAUAUAAUUGGAUUUCUUUUUUGUUUCAAGACAAUGUCAGUUGUAGAACAUGUCAAGGACAGUUGAAUGAAUUUUGAUAAGCAUGCAAGAAAUAUAUCACAUGCACAAACUUCCAAUAGACAAUUGAUUCUCGAGGAUCAAGUUUGUUGGUAAAUAUACAUUGAUGGUCGAUCAUUAAUUGCCAUAAUGACAUAGUAUAGGAUAUUUAUUAANNNNNGUUUUAAGAUUGAAAACUAAUGUUGGAUUCAAUGAACUUACCAAAAUUAACUAUGGGUAAUGUGAUAAUCAUGUCAAGCAUCUCUUACAUGGUAUAACGCCAAGAAACCCUAGACUCAUCGUCUGAUACUAUAUAUUCCACCGCUAACUUUCCAUAUUCAUCGAUAAACAACAAGAGGGAAACAAUAGAAGUGGUAUUUACGGGUAAAAUGACCGAUUUUUACCAUCUCACUUUAGUACAACGUUAUCUAACACAAUUACUUAUACCCCACAUCAUAUGCAAAAAAAGCGAUGUAUUUUUUUCCGCUAUCUCAUAAACAUGGAAAUUGUGGGUGAUUAAGAAAAAUAACUAGCAUCUUCUUAAGGGAAUGGUAUUUUAUGUAAUUAAAUUGUUCUAGUUUCGUAUUAACAAUACAAUAAGUUUACAGGUAGAAAGGAAACUGUGUUGCUAUUAUUUAGCAAAUUCUCAUUUAAUUUACAAAGAAAGUGCAUUGAUAUAUCUAGACAUUUAUAUAAUUGUAUUUAAUUGCAUCUGUUUACGUUUAUUUUAAGAAUAAUGUCUAUUGCCAUCGUUACUUACUUAUAAGACAUUGGAGUAGCAUCACAUGAUAUAAUAUUUAAGGUUCAGAGUGUUGAGGAUGUGGAAAUUUACACCCAAAACUAGAAAGAAGUGUUAUCGAUUGAACUAAUUAUUGUGGAUGAACAGGUUAUGUACAACAUUUAUUAUUUACAUUUACAUAGAGAACAUUAUUUGAGAACAUCCUAUUUUUUUACCAGGCACAAAAAUCGAAGCUCAUAUUUUCAAUAGUAACUUCAAUAGAUUAAACAUCUGCUAAAAUUUAGAGAAACCUAUGUAAUAUAAAACCCCAACUAGGCUGCAACAAGUGAAGGUUUUAGUAUCACUAUCCAAGAUCAACAAAUUGUGUUACACUGGAAAAGUCUUCUUAAGAAAUGUUUUCAAUUUACGGGUCGACAUCAUGGUUUUGUUUUUGUUCACUAUACUUCAAUUCUAGAAAAAAAAAACUUGCUCGAUCAAUAUGUGUUAUGGUUAGUUAUUUUACUUCAAUUCUACAAAAACUUGCUCCACCAAUUUGCGUUGAGUCUACAUCAAUUCUACAACAAACUUGCUCGACCAAUUUGUGUUAUCGGUCAUGUCAUAUCACGACGUACUCUAGACACAUCUAAUCCAAAUCCAUCAAGUCACAACAUGAAGUUGAGCUUAUGCAACAUAGAGUGAAUUCUUUAGCGUUUUUUAUGUCAUAUAUAUACAUACAUAUAUAUAGGGGGUAGACUGCUUAAGGUUACUUUGUUUGGAGUUCAAGCUCAUCAACUUUCAGAUUUUUUGACAAAAAAUACUUUGUGUUAUUUUAAGUAGCCAAUUUCCUACACUCAACAUUUGGAAUGAUUUGUGUUAUUAGUAAAUUAUUUACUUCAAACAUAAAAUGUGUUUUUAUAUUUGAUACUCUUACUAUUUUUGGUCGAGUUUCAUCUAAUUUUGACGCAUCCAAUUUGUUUAUUAAUGCAUAACUUUUUGAGGUUAACGGGUGCAAGAAAAAGUUAGUUUCAUUAUUAAAAUCUUUUAAUGUUUUGCAUUAACCUAGAUCUUAAUCAAGUUCAUGCUUGGAGUAAUCUUUCUUAUAUAAUAACAGUUUUGUAGUUGUGGAUGGAGGUAUAAAAGUUUGUAAGAGGUAUAAUUGUAAUUCCGAGUAAGACUUUUUCUUAUAAUGAUGAGUUUCAAGGUUAUUAUGAAAUAGAAAAUGUUUGUGAUAUUUUCGAUCCAAUGAAGGUAUAUUUUAACCUUUAAAUUCAUUAAAUAUCUUUUCUCUGCAUACGAAGUUUUAUUAUCUACUUUUGGUAUGGUUUCAAGAAGGUAAAUUUAUUUUACUUUGAAAAAUCAAAUGAAUUUGAUAGGACUAUCCUUGCUUUUAUGAUGUAUGUACUAGAAAUGGAAAGAAGGUUACUGUAACAUCCGAAAAUACAGUCCAAAAAUUUUGUUUUUAAAACAAUUAAUAAAACCAUAAAUAUCUUCAUAUAAAGUCAUAGGUCACAUGUCAUAUAUAUAAGAGUAUAAACAUCCCAGGUUAAACAAAUGGUGUGUGCACUAAAAUCUUCCCGAGCUCCUCUUUUGAAAAUUGAGUACCUAAAACCAAGACUAAAAACCGUAAGAACGAAGCUUAGUGAGUCUCCCCAAUCUACCACAUACCAUCCACAUAUAACAUGCAACUAGGAGAUACGCGCCCCGCCCACACUCAUGAAGAUAUGGGCCCCGUCCACACUCCGCUAUCUAGGAGAUAUGGCCCCUGCCCACACUCUGCUAUCUCUGAGAUAUAGGCCUCGCCCACACUCAGCUACUUCGAGAUACGGGCCCCGCCCACACUCGAUUAUUGUGAGAUACGAGCCUUGCCCAUACUCAGCUGCUAUGCCAAAACAUACAAGUAUCACACAAACAAUAUGUAUAACUAAUCUAUCGUUCAGUCAUAUGUCAUAUAUAAUAAUCAAGUACAGCUACGAGAUACGGGCCCUCGCCCAAACUCGACUAUUAAGAGAUACGCGCCCAGUCCACACUCCGCUACUAUGAGAUACAGGCCCCACCCACACUCACUAGCCAUGAAGAUACAUACAAGCUCUAAAAGAACAGCAAGUAUCACUAGCAUAUAAAUAUAUACCUUAUCAGCUAUCCGUGAGAUACGGGCCACGCCCACACUCAACUACUAUGAGAUACAGGCCUCGCUCACACUCAGCUACUAUGAGAUACGGGCCCCGCCCACACUUGCAUUCCUAACAACAUAUACAAGCAUCACAUAGACAAUAAGUAUAGCAAUCCAAUAAUCUAACUGAUAUCUAUACUCAGAUAGUAAUCAGAUACGGGCCCCGCCCAUACUCAGCUACUAACAUAUCUCAUAUACGGGAUGGCCUUGUGUCACACCCCCGAACCAGGCGGCGGAAACGUUCGGGAGCUGCUGUGACUCAAUUGAAUACUGUAACAUUGAAUAUAUAUGAACGUAACAACAUUCGUCACCAUGCAUUAAUAUAAUACAACCAAUAAAGUUUACAUGAAGUACAUUGUUUAAACAUUACAUUCCCAAAAUAAAUUGUUCGGUUCGUUAAUAAGUAAACUGCAAGCCAUCACUGAUUACAUUUUCCUUGAAUUCACUGGUUCCCUAAGAAUACAAGUAUUUUGAAAAACGUCAACAUGUGAAAUGUUGGUGAGUUCAUAAGCGGUAUUUGAAAAGCAAUGUUUUGUAUCAUUUUGAAAACCACCAGAAAAUCCAAUAUUUUCUGAAAAGAAAUGCUUUUGAAAACGUUUGUGAAGAUCCAUAGGUAUGCUUGUUUGUUUCUAUACUUGUAAAAAUUGUUCAUUUAAAAUUGUAUGCGUCUCGAAUCCGUAUGUAUUGAAAACCCUAGGAAAACCCGAUGUUUUCCUAAUUCUUUGAAUUCCAUGAAUUUACAUUGAAACCAUUGCAACGCGCGUAGUGUCAAUCCCAGGCGACGUUGGAUUAUUUUUGAGCAUGAUUAACUACUACAAACACGCGUUACACAAACGACCAGUUUAUAGCUAUACUAACGAUCGCGUAGGCGUCGUCCGUACUAAUCACGUUAUCCAACCGCCCUGACUACGUGUAGUCCCACAUCCGAGGAGAAAGAGGACACGAAGACCCCGGUGACUCCAUUAACCGGUUGGGGAUAAAAAAAAUGUACGAGGGGUCCCUGACUCAACUCGCAUGAAAUGUCGACUUUACUAGCAAUACCAAAGGACCCUUGGGGACCAGUAGUAUACAAGCCAUUGAAAGUCCUUUUACGUUGUGUUAGAUCGGUAAAACCCAACACUUCGUAAGGUAGAGGUCUUCGGGCCUUAAGAUCAGGUCAUUGGGCUAGCUAGGCCCAACAAACAAGAUUUUACACUUUUGGGGCCCAAAGAUGGUGCGUAGACGUCUGUGCACACUCGCAUGUAUAUUGAAUUCCCAAACGUUACUUGUAUGAAUCGUAGUAUCGUCGUGUUAGUAGUUUCGGAUUUUUAUUGGUUCGAGACCGAACCAAUUCGUUUAACAACGACUUUUGGUAUUGUUGUGUAUUGUAUUUCAUCGAUAGUCGCGGUGCCAUUAUUUGAUCAAUUUGCGUGUAUUGAAUUAGCCUUGAAAGUUUUCUGUUUUCAACCCCUCAUUGUUUGUAAAAUUCACCUUUUCAACCCUUUUAAUUAAAUACUUUCCGGUUUGGUCCUUAAAUCAAUUUUCUUGACAUUUUAACACCAAAAAUUAUUGAAAUUAAUAUUUUUCAGCAUAUUUUUCAUAGAAAACAGUUUAAGUCCCUGAAAAUGCAGUUUUCUCGGUUAUAACCCCUCUUUUUCGCAAUUUUGACAAUUUUGGCCCAAAUGGUAAAAUUUUUGCAACUUUGGUCCUUUUUAAAUUUAAAAAGCAUUUUAAACCUUUGAAAAGGACUUGGAACACUAAUAGUCCACUGUUUUACAGAAAAACACAGUUUUGGCCCUCCAAAACAGAAAAUCUCGCAUAAUGGGCCUCAUUGGGCCGAAAAUGUCAUUUUUAGCCCAUUAAGCUUGAAAUUUAUGUUUUUAAUCCUCCAAAUGAGUAUAUUUCCAGAAAUUGUUUUAUUGAAACUGUUUUGACACACCUCAUCCAUCAGAAUUCGUGAUAUGUCAAUUUGGGCCCUUAAUUUUGUAUUUUUCACAUUUUAGGUCCAAAAAUUGUGUUUUUAGCCCAAAGAAAAUGUUACUAAGCCAUUUAGCUAUUUUUCUAGGAACACUUUGUAUGUAGAAAUAUAUUUGAUGCUAGAAUCAUUUAACAUAAAGUAUAUCUCGGUUUUGAGGGGUUUUAUGGCUAGAUCCAACAUUAUAACACACAAAAACACACAUAUAAGCAUGGAAAUCAUACAAGGCAUACAAAACACAUAUAGAUCUACACUUUCACUUGUAUUCCCCCCCCACAAAACUCAUAAAAACAGAAAAUAGGGGGUAUGAAGCUCACCUUGGGUGUGGUUUCGGUUUUGAAGAGAAGAUGGAAGAAAAAUGAAGUGAUUUUCGGCCUUAGCACCUUUCCUUGGUAGAUCUCGAGUUUGGUGACUUCUAAGGUGCAUGAUCACAAGUUGGAAUAGAUUUAGAAGAGGUUUUUGAUGGAAUGAAGUAGCUAGAUCAUGGAUUAGUCAUCAACUUACCUUAGAUGAUGAUUUUUGGUGAUGGAUUCUCCUUGUGAAGCUUCUUGAUUCACGAAAAUUUUGAAGAAGGAGGGAGGAUUGUUCUUCAAGACUUAGAGAGUUUGGAAGAGAUUUUUGUGGUGUGUGUGUGUUUGCAUAUGGCCGAGAGUGAGAGAGAGGAAGGAAGAAGUGAUCUUUGAGAUGAUGUAUGCAUGGGUGUAUGUGAUAUGUUGCAUGGAUAUCCAAAAGAUAAUAAUGAGGUGGCAAUGGCAAGUCAACUCUUCAUCUUUCCUUGGGUUUGGGCCUUGGGCCGAGAGUUUGGAAGGGAAAAGGAAAAAUUUGGGCUUUUUCCCUUAAGCCCAAAAUUAGAGUUAGUUAGGGUGUGUUUUAUACCUAAAAGAAUGUGGUAGGAUUUUUACAUUUUUGUUGGACUAGUUUAGGUUAUUCAUGGAUCAAAGCUUUUAAUUCAUUUCAUUCUAGGCCCAACAUGGCCCAAAAUGUUGAAAUAAAUUAAUGUGGGUCCAAUUAGAGCCCAAUUAGGGUUCUAAGCCCAUGAUAGUCAAAUUGAAAGCUUAUUGGUCCAUUUGGAUCCAAUGAGGAAGUUCUAGUCCAAGGUGGACCUAGAUAAGAACUUCUAGAGUUUCCAAUUGUUUGAUGACUAUUUGUAGCACUUGUAUGAUGUAUUUGAUUGAAGUUUUUGAUGUCAUAAUCAUAGGUAUCACACAUGUUCUUAAGUUUUUGAUUCACAUUAACUUGAGUGUAUAGAUUACAUGACGCAAAAUUUCCAGUUGUGACAUUGUUGAAGUCCCGCUGACAAAACCAUAGUUGCUGGAUGACGGAUUCACAGUCUGUCAAUAUCAAAAUAACACCAAAUUAAUAAUCGAGUUCCAAAUCAUAACCAUAAGUCCAUGCUUGGGGUAAAAGACUAAUUUACCCCUAUCUUAGCUUGACUCAAGCCCAAGGCCCAAUCCAAAGGCCUAAAAGUCUAAUAAUGUACCAAGGCCCAACUAUGGCCCAUCUAUGGCCCAAUUUUCCCAAAUGGGCCCAAGUCUCUACAUGGUCUUGAUCAAAGGCCCAGUCAUUCAUUGUAUGUCCAACACUUGACAUUCUCACAGUCCAACAUCUCAUAAUCAUCAAGGCCCAUACUAUGGCCCAUCUAUAACCGAAUUUUCAAAUUUGGGCCCAAACUCCUUACGUGCACCUUAACCUAAGUCCAUUAGAUUAUUCUAGUCCAUUUGCUUGCUUUUGGAUGGUCCAUUUUUAUCCCAAUCACCAAGGCCCAAUAGGAAGGCCCAACUCAAAGUCCAAGUAAAAUUAGCGUUUCACAUAAAUGACAAUUAGGGGUAAGUGUUUCUCACUUAACCUAUUAAGGACUUAAUCCAUUAAGUCAUUUACUCUACUAGAUAAGUUAUAUGUGAUAAUUGGGCUUAAUACACAAUCCACUUCCAAUGGCUAAAAAGUUGGUUCCAAUAAGUCCAAGGCCCAAAUACUCACAAUUAGGGCUUUCUACCCAAACAUGGCCCAAUAGGCCAAAAAUUAAUCUUUAAGCCCAUUAGGGUUUUGCUAGGUCCAUUAGGGUUUUGCUAGUGUGGCACCACCCACUACCAUCUCGGGUAGUGGUGGUCAACGAUGGUUCACGGCGGCGGCCACCUUACGGUGGUGGUUAUGAUUCUUUUCAUUAAUCUUUUCUAAUUACAAUUACAGUGCUUUAUUCCAAAAAUAAACACACACACACUAACAAACAUAGACACACAACCACACCGUGGUGGUCGGCGGCAGCCACUACCUCACGGUGGUGGUGGUGGCUUCCUUGCGAAUUCCGGCCAGACUAACUAUCAGAAAUACAUGAUUACAAACCGCUGGAUGGUUACAAAACGACCCCCAGCCACCCACUAACCACUAUAAGAAAAGUCCUUAUUAGUGACUAAUUUUUAGUGACGACCUGAAAUUUGGUCACUGAAGGCAUCUUUUAGUCACUAGAAAUUAAGUGGUCACUGAAUUUUGGUAAUCUUACAAAUUUAAUGACGAAUUAUAUGUGGUGGUCACUAACUCGGUCACUAAAAUGCGAAAAAAUUAAAGUACUUUUGUUUCAUAUCAUAACAACUAUUUAGUGACUAAAAAUAAAUGUCACUAUGUUAACUACAUAGCGACUAAGAAUAAUGGUCAAUAUGUUAGAAACUUAGUGACAAAAAAGUGGUCAUUAUAUUGGAGGUUUAGUGACCAAAAAUAGUGGUCACUACUACUUUUAUUCAAAACUACACGCCUACUCUUUAAAUGGGAAAAAACAAUUAGUGACCACCAAAUAGUGGUCACUAAUGAAUUACAAGGAAAAAACAAUUAGUGACCAUAAAGAAGUGGUCAUUAAUAUAUNNNNNNNNNNNNNNNNNNNNNNNNNNNAGUCUUAAUUAAUAUUUUUUAUUUUGAUAGUAACUAUAGCUUUGUUUUCUUUUUAUACAUAAUUUUGCAAAGACUAAUAACAUUAUUGACCCGGCCUUAUCAAACAUGUUUACUAUAAUAAUAUUUGAAAAAAAAUUGUAAAAAUAAAAAGCGAAAUACAUUUAAAAACGUCUCGGGUGGAAUUAUAUUUUGACUAAAUAAAAAGACUUGACUAAUUUUGACUAUAGUUGACUAAUUUUCACCAAAUUAAUUAUACAGAUAAUUUUUUGCAAACACAAUUAAUUGGUUUAGUAAGGAGGAUAAACAUGGUUGACUAAUUAUUAAUAUAAUUUUUUGCAAACAUACGUCUAUUCUCUUGCUCAUCUCCCUCAUUAAUGAGUUCAUUGUGUGAUGUUUUGGGAAAUUGGGAAUUUGGAAUCGGAAGUCAAAUACAUUCAAUUUGUUCUUAAUUCACUCUCAUCUCAAACACUCGUUUUCUUUUUUUCCAUUAUAAAUUUGGAAUUGGAGGUAUCCAUACUCCCAGUAGCUCUUAAAAACAGCGAUUCUUAGCCUCAAUUGGCCUCUCAAUGUAAAAUAUCAGGUAAUUCACAUUUUUAUCAGACCAAUUUCAUUUUCAACUCCUCAAUUUGGCCAAUUCCAUAGUUUACUAUUAAAUUCAUAUCUAAGCUGAUAGUUUCAUCUUUAUUUGCUAAAUUAAAAUAAACUCUGAAUUGCUAAUGUCUUUUAGUAUUUAUGAAAUGUUGUUAAUUUCACUUUUAGUUAGAGAUACUUUUAUAAAAAAUCUAAGUAAUCAUGUUUAUGGGAAAUCAAGUCAUGUCAUUCCUAUCAAUGAUCCCAGUCUUCUCUUUGCUAGUGAUGGUUAGUUAAUCUCUUCUCAUCUGAUUGAGUGAUAUAUGCUUGUAUUGUUAAUUCUUCGUACUUUUAGAUAACUCAUACUUGUUGAAUGCUAAUUUGACAAUUGAUCUUUGGAAUUAUGAAAGUAAUCAAGUAAGUUGAACAUAUGUAGAUAUAUGGUACUAAGUUUGAAAAUUAGGUAUCUAUCAUGAUAUCUAACAUCAGCAAUAAUUUUGAAUUACAAGAAUGAACUAGUUUAAGCUUAUCUUCUUGGUUACUGCUGAUCCUAACACAUCAUUUAGCAAAUUGACUCGUGCACACAAUACUCAAAAGUAUAUUCGCAUUGGUGGUAAGCAGAAUGAUCUUGAUGAUGUUGGCAAAGACACUUAUCAUGCUUGGUAAUUGGUCAUUUGGUGAUUAUUUGAAAGAAGAAGCCAUUGGAUGGGAAUGGGAGCUUCACACAUCAGUAUUAACCAUAAUUUCUUAUCUUAUUUUACUGUUACACUUUCAUGUCAUGAGAAGUGUUAUUUAUCCUGGUUUACAAGUUUUAAGCUACCUACUAAGCAUUCAUAAAAUUUAUGUAUAUACAGCUUUUUUUUGGUGGUGAUGAGAAAUUGAGAAAGCAAAACAUGAUGAGAAAGAAACCAAAAAAGUUGCAGGAUAAUCUUCAGUCUGUGCAACUCUGUCUUUCUACAAGAGAACACAUAUGUUGUAACAACCCGAUAUUUCAACUCUUUGUAAUGACCUAAAAGGUCAAGUAUUGUAACCACCUUGGAGUUUAUAAAAUUAACUUUGAUAAUAAAAUGCCCAAAAAGUAUCUAUUUAAAUUCCUACUAUGUUUAAUAUCAAUAAACCGGGAUCGUACGUAAAACGGAUGCCCAAAUCCGGCUUCGUUUAUUGAAAUUAAGAUUUUUCCAAGUUCGGCUUAGCAGCAGACAGCUAAAAACUUGAAUCGGAAAUCGAGCGACUUUUGGCCGGAAUGACCUAAACGAGAAUCGAAGGUCUCGAUAAUGGUAUUUCAGCGGUAAAAAGUCUGGCAAAAACCGACGUCAGAUAAAGAAGUUAUGAAUUUUUAAAGAAAUUCCUUAAUCACGUCAUUUUAAUAAAUAAAUAAUAAAAAUAAUUUCAUAAUUUGCCAACGGAGUCUAAACGAAAGUUGUAGAUCCUAGUCUCCCCUACGCGUGGAUAUAAAGACCAUCGAAAACGGAGUUCGUAUGAGGAAGAUAUGAAUUUUUGAAGUUUAUUAAAUAAAUUAUAAUUAUAUUUAAAUAAAAAAUGCUAGUAAUAUCCGAAGAGGAGUCAGCGUCCUCAUCCGAGGUACGCGCCGCGUAACCCCGUACGCCCCGCGUACCCGAGGGCCUUGGCCUCGGACCGUCCACGUCGCCCCUCUAUGAACCUACCGACUCAUCCCAUCCGAGGUCCGAGGCAGUCAAGGAUUCGCUCAUGCGUGACGCAUGGGUACGCGCUGCGUACGCCCGUACGCCCCGCGUACCGAGGCCUCUCAGCCCCUAUAAAAGGGGUGCGAGGGUUUCCGAAAAACUUGCUCAUUUCUUCUCAUUUCCCUUGCGUUUUGCCUCGUUUUCCGUGCCCGUUCAAACCCGAAGCCCUGGUCAUUUUUACUCAAGUCCCGAGAGUCGAUUUUACUCCCGAGAUUCCCGAGAAUCCCGAGAAAGAUCCGCUUCCCGAGACGAAACUCUGCCCGGUUUUCCAUCUCGCUAUCUUCAAACUUCCAAGUGAGUUCAUACCCCUUCAAACACUCUUUAAAUAUAUUUUAAAUGCUUUUAUACUCUUUUAGGGGGGGAAUACAAGUAAACAUACGGUUAUUAUCGUGUAAUUCAUAAUAUUUCACUUGCUUAUUUUUAUCAAAUGAAUCACUUGUGAUUUAGUACUGCUAUGUGAAAACUCUUGUCAUACUUUACAUGCAUUAGAUUCAUACAAAGUAUUUAGUAAUUCCAAAGUAUCCUUCAUUACUAAACCGUUUUAUACAUUCUAAAAACUUAUGAUUUAUGCUUUGUCAAACAUUGUGAAAAAGGAUAAACUUUGCACACAAAACUAUUACUUUAAUACAGACUUAGUUGAGAAUCCAUGAGAUACGUACAUCUUCAACUACUGCCUUUUUAUUAGAAGGUAUCGCUACAAGUCCUGUCUAUAACCAGAGUCUCCCGUUCGGAGAACGUGUCAAAUGUGUAUAGAUCUAUACGGGAAGUCAUGAUCCCGCGCCCUGACUGUUAAGCUACAGUCCUUCCUUUGGGGUGACAGUUUGUCAUAACGCUACGACGCCUGAAGAACGUCGCUACAGGCAUAUUAUGUUUAGUAUGGUUAUAAAACUCAUCGGAUAUACAAUUAUUAUAGUACUUCUGAUUGAUGAACGAGUAGCUAUUAAAACUAUUCUUUAUCUAACAAACUGAAAUCUUCUGAUGGGUUUAUUAUAUAAAUCUAUGUUCAAAAUAGCCUAAAACAUGUGGAUUGCUUUCAACUUUUUUUNNNNNNNNNNNNNNNNNNNNNNNNNNNNNNNNNNNNNNNNNNNNNNNNNNNNNNNNNNNNNNNNNNNNNNNNNNNNNNNNNNNNNNNNNNNNNNNNNNNNNNNNNNNNNNNNNNNNNNNNNNNNNNNNNNNNNNNNNNNNNNNNNNNNNNNNNNNNNNNNNNNNNNNNNNNNNNNNNNNNNNNNNNNNNNNNNNNNNNNNNNNNNNNNNNNNNNNNNNNNNNNNNNNNNNNNNNNNNNNNNNNNNNNNNNNNNNNNNNNNNNNNNNNNNNNNNNNNNNNNNNNNNNNNNNNNNNNNNNNNNNNNNNNNNNNNNNNNNNNNNNNNNNNNNNNNNNNNNNNNNNNNNNNNNNNNNNNNNNNNNNNNNNNNNNNNNNNNNNNNNNNNNNNNNNNNNNNNNNNNNNNNNNNNNNNNNNNNNNNNNNNNNNNNNNNNNNNNNNNNNNNNNNNNNNNNNNNNNNNNNNNNNNNNNNNNNNNNNNNNNNNNNNNNNNNNNNNNNNNNNNNNNNNNNNNNNNNNNNNNNNNNNNNNNNNNNNNNNNNNNNNNNNNNNNNNNNNNNNNNNNNNNNNNNNNNNNNNNNNNNNNNNNNNNNNNNNNNNNNNNNNNNNNNNNNNNNNNNNNNNNNNNNNNNNNNNNNNNNNNNNNNNNNNNNNNNNNNNNNNNNNNNNNNNNNNNNNNNNNNNNNNNNNNNNNNNNNNNNNNNNNNNNNNNNNNNNNNNNNNNNNNNNNNNNNNNNNNNNNNNNNNNNNNNNNNNNNNNNNNNNNNNNNNNNNNNNNNNNNNNNNNNNNNNNNNNNNNNNNNNNNNNNNNNNNNNNNNNNNNNNNNNNNNNNNNNNNNNNNNNNNNNNNNNNNNNNNNNNNNNNNNNNNNNNNNNNNNNNNNNNNNNNNNNNNNNNNNNNNNNNNNNNNNNNNNNNNNNNNNNNNNNNNNNNNNNNNNNNNNNNNNNNNNNNNNNNNNNNNNNNNNNNNNNNNNNNNNNNNNNNNNNNNNNNNNNNNNNNNNNNNNNNNNNNNNNNNNNNNNNNNNNNNNNNNNNNNNNNNNNNNNNNNNNNNNNNNNNNNNNNNNNNNNNNNNNNNNNNNNNNNNNNNNNNNNNNNNNNNNNNNNNNNNNNNNNNNNNNNNNNNNNNNNNNNNNNNNNNNNNNNNNNNNNNNNNNNNNNNNNNNNNNNNNNNNNNNNNNNNNNNNNNNNNNNNNNNNNNNNNNNNNNNNNNNNNNNNNNNNNNNNNNNNNNNNNNNNNNNNNNNNNNNNNNNNNNNNNNNNNNNNNNNNNNNNNNNNNNNNNNNNNNNNNNNNNNNNNNNNNNNNNNNNNNNNNNNNNNNNNNNNNNNNNNNNNNNNNNNNNNNNNNNNNNNNNNNNNNNNNNNNNNNNNNNNNNNNNNNNNNNNNNNNNNNNNNNNNNNNNNNNNNNNNNNNNNNNNNNNNNNNNNNNNNNNNNNNNNNNNNNNNCAAAUUAACUCCAACGGAAAUGGAGGGGCAGGAAGCAGCACGAAUCAUUCCAAUCAUGGCACUGGUCGUGGUCAAGUAAGAGAAUGUACUUACAAGGAGUUCUCUAACGCUAAGCCAAGAUCUUUUAAUGGAAUUGGGGGAGUCAUUGCACUAAUGCAAUGGUUCGAAAAGACCGAAACGGUCUUCGAGAUCUGCUCAUGCCAAGAAACAAGCAAAGUCAAGUUUGCUGCUUGCACCUUCAUUGACCGAGCCCUCACCUGGUGGAAAAGCCAUGUCAAUUCUGUGACUCUUGCUGCCACGAACGCCAUGAGUUGGGAAGAUCUGAAGGUUCUACUGCUGGAAGAANNNNNNNNNNNNNNNNNNNNNNNNNNNNNNNNNNNNNNNNNNNNNNNNNNNNNNNNNNNNNNNNNNNNNNNNNNNNNNNNNNNNNNNNNNNNNNNNNNNNUUACAAUACUUGACUUUUUAGGUCAUUACAACGAGUUGAAAUAUCAGAUUGUUACAUCAUCCCCCCGUUAGAGGGAAUUUCGUCCUGAAAUUUUAAUACAAAAGAGAGGUCUUAGGGGCUGGGGAAGAGAUGCAGAUACUUCUGUUGCAUUUGGUCUUCCCGUUCCCAUGUGAACUCGGGUCCUCUCUUAGCAUUCCAUCUAACCUUAACUAUUGGAAUGCGACUUUGUUUAGUUCGUUUAACUUCUCUAUCCAUGAUCUCGACGGGUUCUUCCACAAACUUAAGAUUUUCAUUUAGUUCGAUUUCAUCGAGUGGAAUUACAAGUGUUUCGUCGGACAAACACUUUUUCAGGUUCGAUACGUGGAAUACUGGAUGGACUUUGUUAAGCUCUAUUGGAAGUCAGAGUUUGUAGGCCACUGGACCAAUUCUUGAAAUGGUUUCGAAGGGUCCAAUGUACCUAGGACGAUAUUUUCAGUCGUUUCUCGGAUGAUCUCCGGACCAGUGAGGGUGCUAUUAGGGACUAGCCCCUUUGCUAAUUGCGUGUCGCCCACUUCCGUCCAGCACAGGGGUGAUCUGCACUUACGGCCGUAAAGGGCUUCAAAUGUGUCACACCCCAAAACCACGAACGGCGGAAACGUUCAGGGGUGUAGGACGUCAUGUACAGUAUCACAACAGUGUAAUAUAAUAAACAAGUAACAACAUCAUCCAUUGCAUUAUAAGUAAAGUUUUAUACAUGUGUGUUCUUUCAUUGUGGUAAGACACCAAAAAUAUACAAUCAAAAUAAAAGACGAGANGCUGCGUCUUCUCAAAACCUGUCCUCCGUACCUGUCUACCGGCGACCUGAGAAUACAAGUUAUUUUGAAAGAGAGUAUCAGCUUUAAAGCUGGUGAGUUCAUAUGUAUAUAAGUGUCAUUGCUUUGUUUUGUGAAAACCUGCUAUGAAUGCCAUGAAAAACCUUUAAGUGAAAAUGUUGAGGUAAGUAUGAAUUCCCUAGAAAAACCCUUAUUUUCUAUAAGUAUGUAGUGUAGUCUUCUACCAAGACCCAAAUGUUUUGUGUGUAUGAUUUGCAGUCUUCUACCAAGACCCGGAUGUUCUAUAUGUAUGAAGUGCAGUGUUCUACCAAGACCCGAAUGUUUUGUAUGAAUGAAGUGUUUUUCCNNNNNNNNNNNNNNNNNNNNNNNNNNNNNNNNNNNNNNNNNNNNNNNNNNNNNNNNNNNNNNNNNNNNNNNNNNNNNNNNNNNNNNNNNNNNNNNNNNNNAGUGAGUUCAUACCCCUUCAAACACACUUUAAAUAUAUUUCAAAUUUUUUUAUACUCUUUUAGGGGGGAAUGCAAAUAAACAUAUGAUUAUUAUUGUGUAUUUCAUAAUAUUUCACUUGCUUAUUUUUAUCAAAUGAAUCACUUGUGAUUUAGUACUGCUAUGUGAAAACUCUUGUCAUACUUUGCAUGCAUUAGAUUCAUACAAAGUAUUUAGUAAUUCCAAAGUAUCCUUCAUUACUAAACCGUUUUAUACAUUCUAAAAACUUAUGAUUUAUGCUUUGUCAAACAUUGUGAAAAAGGAUAAACUUUGCACACAAAACUAUUACUUUAAUACAGACUUAGUUGAGAAUCCAUGAGACGUGUACAUCUUCAAAUACUGCCUUUUUGUUAAAAGGUAUCGCUACAAGUCCUGUCUAUAACCAGAGUCUCCCGUUCGGAGAACGUGUCAAAUGUGUAUAGAUCUAUACGGGAAGUCAUGAUCCCGCGCCCUGACUGUUAGCUACAGUCCGUCCUUUGGGGUGACAGUUUGUCAUAACGCUACGACGCCUGAAGAACGUCGCUACAGGCAUAUUAUGUUUAGUAUGGUUAUAAAACUCAUCGGAUAUACAAUUAUUAUAGUACUUCUGAUUGAUGAACGAGUAGCUAUUAAAACUAUUCUUUAUCUAACAAACUGAAAUCUUCUGAUGGGUUUAUUAUAUAAAUCUAUGUUCAAAAUAGCCUAAAACAUGUGGAUUGCUUUCAACUUUUUUUUUUGUCUUGGACAUUAAACAAACUAUUACUUUAGGAAAAUAAGGGAUUUUCCUGUAUUCAAACCAAACAACUAUUAGGAAAAUAAGGGAUUUUCUUGGUUCAACUAGCUACAUUUUUCAACACAAAUACUCUCAUGCAUUUCAUACUUUUAUUAGAAAAUAAGGGAUUUUCCUGGAAAAUAUACACUCAUUUUUGGAAUGGCAUUCAAUGUUUCUAAAUCACUUAUGAACUCACCAACUUAAUUGUUGACACUUUUUCUUUGAAAUAACUUGUAUUCUCAGGGAACCGUUAAGCAGGUUUGGAACUCAACUUUUGGGGAUUAACGCGCUGGCGUUAAUUAUUUCUUUUGAAAGAUGUUUAUGCAUUUAUCUUUUGAGCAUGUAAUGAAUACAAUGAUGUAAACAUUUUUAAAACCUUUAUAUAUGUAUGGUGGUGUGUACUUUCCUUUCUAUGAACUGUUAUGAUACUGAAUAUGACGUCCUCCGCCCCCGAACGUUUCCGCCGUUCUGGUUUGGGGGUGUGACAGAUUGGUAUCAGAGCUUUGUUUAUAGGGAAUUAAGUAUAUCAAAACCAUUUCUUUUUGAUAUACAACUAUAAACUCAACUGGGCAAAAACACUCUGAGAAGAGUCAUACUUUUGAAAUUAAAUUUAAUUAGUUUUUAAAGUAGGCAUGCACUCAUUUCAUACUAACAACAGUUUCAUAUCGAAUAAUUUUAGAAGUAUUAUAAAUAAGUUGUGCAUUACAGGUACGCCUUGGGACAUGUAAUCAGAACUGGGAAGAAUAUAGCCUGAUCAACUAUAUUUGUCCGAGAGUCGACUAACAUGUACCAAGGAGUGUCUGCAGUGGACAACAAUUUUAAAACUUACCGAAAGCACAACAUUACAUAAUACUAAGAGAGUUUUUGUGUUGUCGUCAACCAUUAAAUUUAAGGGUAAAUUUCAUGUACUCUAGCUUUUAGUAAAUUCUUAACCCUAUUCUCGUACAGACUCAAUGGCUGGAUUCCACCACCCCAAUGACCCCUACUUCCCCAACCAAGGUAAUGGAAGAUGGAUCGAAGAAGAUCCCGAAGAAGACGAAGAGCCGAUAGAAUUGGAUGGGGGAGAUGACUCUGGUACAGAUUCAGAGCCAAAGGUUAUCAAUCCACCGGCCCCACAACCUCAUGUCCAUGUGAGGAACUUCCAAGGACCUACUCCUGUGUGGGGAAGUCACCUCCACCAUUAGAGCCGACAACAAAGCUUACGCCUCCCUACGGCAUGUGCCGAGACUUCUAUGAUGUCAGAGGCAGGGGAUCAGCAGACCGAGCACUUCCAGACAUGGUUGGCAAACUAGCCAACCAGUGCUACCAAUCCGGAGUUCAAGCCAACCGGAUCCGCGAGGUCAAUGUGGAAGUGCAAGUGCACACUUCCGACAUCCGCCGGUUGGACAAGUUGCAAGGGUAUGGCCUAGACCGCACUAAUGCCAUCCAAGAACAAAUGAAUGCAGCAAUCGCAGUAAUAGCGGAGAUAAGAGAACGACAAGCCGAGUUUGAUAGGCACCUCAUGGAGUCAAAGCAGUCCGACACGGAGUCAAGUUCCAAGCCGCAAGUAGUACUUGCCCGAUUCUCAAAUUUUGUUAUAAAUUAGGACUUCGGAUAAAAGUAUUAUUUUCUUUGAAAUUUUCUGUAAUCGGAGACCUUUAGAAAGGUCAAAAACAUUUGCCUAUGACUCAAAUGUAACACAACUAUAUGUUUAAUAUAUAUAUAGGGCAUAUCUCUUUCUUGUUUUAAUUAUAUGUAGUCCGUUCAAUCCAUCAGUACAUCUAUUCAAACGAUUCAAAGCCCUGUGUUGGCCAAACCAAAUACUUAAACGACUAAGGAGAGUUAAAUCAUUAUAAUUCAACUCUGAACUACCAAAACUUAUAAAUCUUCCAUUUUCUUCUUGGCAGCGCGAUGCCUCCUCGCCCAAACCUAAGGCCUAGACCGGGCACGGCACCACCUCCACCACCAACUUAUGACCCAGCCAUGGUCUAGGCUGGUAUCACAGCAGCAGUAACUGCAGCCCUCUUGCAAAUUAACUCCAACGGAAAUGGAGGGGCAGGAAGCAGCACGAAUCAUUCCAAUCAUGGCAUUGGUCGUGGUCAAGUAAGAGAAUGUACUUACAAGGAGUUCUCUAACGCUAAGCCAAGAUCUUUUAAUGGAAUUGGGGGAGUCAUUGCACUAAUGCAAUGGUUCGAAAAGACCGAAACGGUCUUCAAGAUCUGCUCAUGCCAAGAAACAAGCAAAGUCAAGUUUGCUGCUUGCACCUUCAUUGACCGAGCCCUCACCUGGUGGAAAAGCCAUGUCAAUUCUAUGACUCUUACUGUCACGAAUGCCAUGAGUUGGGAAGAUCUGAAGGUUCUACUGCUGGAAGAAUACUGCCCAAGGGGCGAGAUACAAAAACUUGAGCAAGAGCUUUGGAAUCUGAAGAUGACUGGGUCUGAUCUAGUCGCCUACACAGCUAGGUUCAACGACCUCGCUGCUUUGUGCCUUACCAUGGUCAACCCAGAAUCAAAGAAGGUCGAAAGGUACAUUUGGGGGUUGUCACCCCAGAUUCAAGGGCAUGUCCUAGCUUCCAACCCUAUUACCUACAACAGCGCUAAACGCCUGGCUCAGCGACUUAUCGAUCACGGAGUAAAACAGGGUACCAUAGCAGCUACCGCCAAUCCAUCUAAAGAGGCACAGGGCCAGGGAAGGCCUUGGAACAAAAGAAGGGGGCAAACCAUACAGGAGUACCCCUAGAAACAACAAGUGGUAGCGACCCACGCUAUUACUGUACCUACCACCACUGCUCCCACAAGUUCAUACAAUGGAAAACUUCCGAAAUGUAACCAGUGCAACUUCCACCACCACGGUCUCUGCCGUAACCUUCAAUGCACCAGGUGCAAUAGGAAGGGUCAUACAGCCCGCUACUGCAAAGAGCCAACCCAACAAUCCGCCCCCACUGCUAAUACCGGAGUAAGCCGCGCCUGCUUUGAGUGCGGAGACACGGGGCACUACCGCAGGGACUGCCCGAAGGCAAACAACAGGAAUACCGGCGGAAGGGGCCGAGUUUUCGCAAUGGGGCAAGAUGAAGCCGUUGCGGACCCUACUGUUGUUACGUGUACGUUUCUUCUCGAUAACCCGUAUGCAUGCAUUUUUUUUAUAGUGGAGCGGAAAGGAGUUUUGUGAGUCACGACUUUAAAAGCAUGCUAAAACCAAUACCACAAUCAUUAAGUGAACCGUUCAUAGUAGAAAUGGCCAACGGGAAAACCGAAGGCACUAAGGAGAUAUAUUUAAACUGCACCCUAACUCUAAACGAUAAUCUCUUUCAAAUCAACCUCAUGCCAGUCUCGAUUAAGAGUUUCGAUGUCAUCAUUGGCAUGGAUUGGCUGAGUUCACAUCGUGCGGACAUUUUAUGUUACGAUAAGGCCGUUCGCCUUAAUCUGCCAACCGGCGAAACCUUCCUUGUCUUGGGCNCCCAGUACCACUCUUCGUAUCAUCUCAAGUAUCCAAGCACAGAAGUGCCUAUGCAAGGAGUGUCACGCGUUUCUGGCACAUGUUGUAGAUAUGAAACGCGAAGUCCAGGGCGUCAAGGAUGUGCCCGACGUAUGCGAUUUUCCCGACGUUUUUCCUGAGGACCUCCCAGGAAUACCACCCGCAAGACAAGUCGAUUUCAGAAUCGAUCUGGUUCCCAGAGCUACCCCAGUAGCCAAAGCACCCUAUCGAUUAGCCCCGGCAGAGAUGCAGGAGCUAUCCAGCCAACUGAAUGAACUACUUGGAAAAGGAUUAAUCAGGCCGAGCUUCUUGCCAUGGGGAGCACCCGUGUUGUUCAUGAAGAAGAAGGAUGGAUCGUUCAGGAUGUGCAUCGACUACCGAGAACUCAACAAACUUGCCAUCAAGAACCGAUACCCCCUACCCCGAAUCGACGACUUAUUCGAUCAACUCCAAGGAGCCAACUACUUCUCCAAGAUCGAUCUGAGGUCAGGAUAUCACCAGCUGCAAGUCCUAGAGAGUGAUGUUCCCAAGACGGCCUUCCGGACGAGAUACAGACAUGACGAGUUCGUAGUGAUGCCGUGCGGUCUAACCAAUGCCCCGGUCGUAUUCAUGGAUCUAAUGAAUCGGGUAUGUCGUCCAUUCUUGGAUAAAUUUGUUAUACUAUUCAUAGACGACAUACUCAUUUAUUGAAAGAAUAAAGAAGAACAUAGUCAGCACCUGAGACAAGUCUUAGAGACGUUACGGACUUAGAGACUUUAUGCAAAAUUCUCAAAAUGUGAGUUUUGGAUUAGAAAGGUGGACUUCCUCGGUUACGUGGUCAGCAAGGAAGGAAGGAAUCCACGUGGACCCCUUAAAAAUCAAGGCUAUCGAAAACUGGUCUGCACCAACUACACCACCAGAAAUUCACCAAUUUCUAGGUCUUGCUGGUUAUUAUCGAAGGUUUAUCCAGAAUUUCUCCAACAUCGCAAAGCCUCUUACCGCUUUAACCCAGAAAGGUGUGACCUACAACUGGGGAGAAAAACAAGAUGCUGCAUUUCAAACCUUGAAACAAGCCCUUUGCAGUGCACCUAUCCUUUCUCUUCCGGAAGGGACCGAAGAUUUUGUGGUGUAUUGCGACGCUUCGAAGCAAGGGCUGGGUUGUGUGCUAAUGCAGAGGGGAAAGGUUAUUGCAUAUGCCUCACGACAACUGAAAACGCAUGAGGUCAAUUACACCACUCAUGACUUAGAACUUGGAGCAGUGGUCUUCGCUCUUAAAAUCUGGAGGCACUAUCUUUACGGUACCAAGUGCACUGUCUUUACNCAGACCAAAAGAGCCUCCAACACAUCUUCGAACAAAAGGAGUUAAACAUGAGACAACGACGUUGGGUCGAAUUGCUCAACGACUACGAAUGUGAGAUUCGCUAUCAUCCAGGAAAGGCGAACGUCGUGGCCGAUGCCCUUAGUCGAAAGGAGUACUCUGGCCGAAGAGUGAAGUCAUUAGCCAUGUCGAUCCAUUCGCACCUGUCAGCGCAAGUCAAGGAAGCUCAAAUAGAGGCCUUGAAACCCGAAAACGUGACAGGUGAGGCCCUUAGGGGAAUGGACAAGAACUUAGAAAUCAAGAGUGACGGAGCACGCUACCUCAUGAACCGGAUCUGGACACCCAAGUUUGGUGGAUUCAGAGAGGUAGUUAUGAGCGAGGCACACAGGACCCCAUACUCCGUACACCCAGGGUCAGACAAGAUGUAUCUAGAUCUCAAGCAACUCUACUGGUGGCCAAACAUGAAAGCGGAGAUUGCUACUUAUGUGAGCAAGUGUUUGACUUGUGCCAAAAUAAAAAUAGAAUAGCAGAAACCUUCAGGCCUACUCCAACAACCUGAAAUACCUGAGUGGAAAUAGGAGCAGAUUUCCACGGACUUCAUAACCAAACUGCCCAAAACUCAGAGUGGCCAAGAUACUAUUUGGGUAAUCGUCCACAGAUUAACCAAGUCAGCCCAUUUCUUACCGAUCAAGGAAACUGAUAGGAUGGAAAAACUAUCAAGAACCUACAUCCGGGAGAUUGUACGACUUCAUGGCGUACCGAUGUCCAUCAUCUCAGAUAGAGACAGCAGAUUCACUUCCAGAUUCUGGCAAUCAUUGCAAAAAUCCAUGGGAACAAGGUUGGAUAUGAGUACAGCAUACCACCCACAAACUGACGGACAGAGUGAGAGGACGAUCCAAACCUUGGAAGACAUGUUGCGAGCAUGUGUAAUCGACUUUGGUAAGGCAUGGGAUGUUCACUUACCUUUGGUCGAGUUCUCUUAUAACAAUAGUUAUCAUACUAGUAUCAAGACUGCUCCAUUUGAAGCCCUUUACGGCCGUAAGUGCAGAUCACCCCUGUGCUGGACGGAAGUGGGCGACACGCAAUUAGCAAAGGGGCUAGUCCCUAAUAGCACCCUCACUAGUCCAGAGAUCAUCAGUGAAACGACUGAAAAUAUCGUCCUAGGUACAUUGGACCCUUCAAAAUCAUUUCAAGAAUUGGUCCAGUGGCCUAUAAACUCCGACUUCCAAUAGAGCUUAACAAAGUCCAUCCAGUAUUCCACGUAUCGAACCUGAAAAAGUGUUUGUCCGACGAAACACUUGUAAUUCCACUCGAUGAAAUCGAACUAAAUGAAAAUCUUAAGUUUGUGGAAGAACCCGUCGAGAUCAUGGAUAGAGAAGUUAAACGAACUAAACAGAGUCGCAUUCCAAUAGUUAAGGUUCGAUGGAAUGCUAAGAGAGGACCCGAGUUCACAUGGGAACGGGAAGACCAAAUGCAACAGAAGUAUCCGCAUCUCUUCCCCAGCCCCUAAGACCUCUCUUUUGUAUUAAAAUUUCGGGACGAAAUUCCCUCUAACGGGGGGAUGAUGUAACAACCUGAUAUUUCAACUCAUUGUAAUGACCUAAAAAGUCAAGUAUUGUAACCACCUUGGAGUUUAUAAAAUUAACUUUGAUAAUAAAAUGCCCAAAAAGUAUCUAUUUAAAUUCCUACUAUGUUUAAUAUCAAUAAACCGGGAUCGUACGCAAAACGGAUGCCCAAAUCCGGCUUCGUUUAUUGAAAUUAAGAUUUUUCGAAGUUCGGCUUAGCAGCAGACAGCUAAAAACUCGAAUCGGAAAUCGAGCGACUUUUGGCCGGAAUGACCUAAACGAGAAUCGAAGGUCUCGAGAAUGGUAUUUCAGCGGUAAAAAGUCUGGCAAAAACCGACGUCAGAUAAAGAAGUUAUGAAUUUUUAAUGAAAUUCCUUAAUCACGUCAUUUUAAUAAAUAAAUAAUAAAAAUAAUUUCAUAAUUUGCCAACGGAGUCUAAACGAAAGUUGUAGAUCUUAGUCUCACCUACGCGUGGAUAUAAAGACCAUCGAAAACGGAGUUCGUAUGAGGAAGAUAUGAAUUUUUGAAGUUUAUUAAAUAAAUUAUAAUUAUAUUUAAAUCAAAAAUGCUAGUAAUAUCCGAAGAGGAGUCAGCGUCCUCAUCCGAGGUACGCGCCGCGUAACCCCGUACGCCCCGCGUACCCGAGGGCCUUGGCGUCGGACCGUCCACGUCGCCCCUCUACGAACCUACCGACUCGUCCCAUCCGAGCUCCGGGGCAGUCGAGGACUCGCUCAUGCGUGACGCACGGGUACGCGCUGCGUACGCCCGUACACCCCGCGUACCGAGGCCUCUCAGCCCCUAUAAAAGGGGUGCGAGGGUUUCCGAAAAACUUGCUCAUUUCUUCUCAUUUCCCUUGGGUUUUGCCUCGUUUUCCGUGCCCGUUCAAACCCGAAGCCCUGGUCAUUUUUACUCAAGUCCCGAGAGUCGAUUUUACUCCCGAGAUUCCCGAGAAUCCCGAGAAAGAUCCGCUUCCCGAGACGAAACUCUGCCCGGUUUUCCAUCUCGCUAUCUUCAAACUUCCAAGUGAGUUCAUACCCCUUCAAACACACUUUAAAUAUAUUUUAAAUGCUUUUAUACUCUUUUAGGGGGAAUACAAAUAAACAUACGAUUAUUAUUGUGUAUUUCAUAAUAUUUCACUUGCUUAUUUUUAUCAAAUGAAUCACUUGUGAUUUAGUACUGCUAUGUGAAAACUCUUGUCAUACUUUACAUGCAUUAGAUUCAUACAAAGUAUUUAGUAAUUCCAAAGUAUCCUUCAUUACUAAACCGUUUUAUACAUUCUAAAAACUUAUGAUUUAUGCUUUGUCAAACAUUGUGAAAAAGGAUAAACUUUGCACACAAAACUAUUACUAUAAUACAGACUUAGUUGAGAAUCCAUGAGAUACGUACAUCUUCAACUACUGCCUUUUUAUUAGAAGGUAUCGCUACAAGUCCUGUCUAUAACCAGAGUCUCCCGUUCGGAGAACGUGUCAAAUGUGUAUAGAUCUAUACGGGAAGUCAUGAUCCCGCGCCCUGACUGUUAGCCUACAGUCCUUCCUUUGGGGUGACAGUUUGUCAUAACGCUACGACGCCUGAAGAACGUCGCUACAGGCAUAUUAUGUUUAGUAUGGUUAUAAAACUCAUCGGAUAUACAAUUAUUAUGGUACUUCUGAUUGAUGAACGAGUAGCUAUUAAAACUAUUCUUUAUCUAACAAACUGAAAUCUUCUGAUGGGUUUAUUAUAUAAAUCUAUGUUCAAAAUAGCCUAAAACAUGUGGAUUGCUUUCAACUUUUUUUGUCUUGGACAUUAAACAAACUAUUACUUUAGGAAAAUAAGGGAUUUUCCUGUAUACAAACCAAACAACUAUUAGGAAAAUAAGGGAUUUUCUUGGUUCAACUAGCUACAUUUUUCAACACAAAUACUCUCAUGCAUUUCAUACUUUUAUUAGAAAAUAAGGGAUUUUCCUGGAAAAUAUACACUCAUUUUUGGAAUGGCAUUCAAUGUUUCUAAAUCACUUAUGAACUCACCAACUUAAUUGUUGACACUUUUUCUUUGAAAUAACUUGUAUUCUCAGGGAACCGUUAAGCAGGUUUGGAACUCAACUUUUGGGGAUUAACGCGCUGGCGUUAAUUAUUUCUUUUGAAAGAUGUUUAUGCAUUUAUCUUUUGAGUAUGUAAUGAAUACAAUGAUGUAAACAUUUUUAAAACCUUUAUAUAUGUAUGGUGGUGUGUACUUUCCUUUCUAUGAACUGUUAUGAUACUGAAUAUGACAUCCUCCGCCCCCGAACGUUUCCGCCGUUCUGGUUUGGGGGUGUGACAUAUGUAAAACUCUACAAGAAAAGGUAAAUCAAGAAAUAAUAACAACAUUAAAGAACAAUGAUUGAUUAUUAUUAUUAUUAUUAUUAUUAUUAUUAUUAUUAUUAUUUAUUUAUUUUGUGGUUUUAGGAGCGAGAUCUUGAAAGUCAAUUAGCUAUUGUUUCUUCUUCACAAUCUUCAGUAAAACAAAGCCUGACUACAAUAUCAGAAAAAAGACCUCCAUUAAUUCCUUCCACAUCAAAACUCUGCCUCCCUCUUAGAAGAAUAACAAAUUUUGUGUCCACUCAUCCACCAUCAUCCGCCGCCUGAAAAUUACAUUGAUCAAGUGAAUUUACUUUUAAUCCAUAUUGAUCAUUAUAUGUUUGUUUUUUUUUGAAAUGUUGGAUAAAAAGUCUGGAUUUUGUUUUUUAAAAAUGACAUUUAAUUUUCAUAUUAGAAAUGUUAAGAUUUAUUUGGUUAUUGUUGUAUUGUAAAAAUUUAUAAGAUUGCUUUUUUUUUUUCUUUCGUCUAAUUGGAUAUUAUUAUAUUGUAUAUUCAAAAUGACAUUUAAUAUUUCAAGAAUUUCUUAAUCAUUGACAUUUUUUUGUCUAGGAUAAAUCAGUGACGACUUGUUUUAGUCACUAAUUAGAUAAACCAGUGACCACUUUCCAUGGUCACUAAUUGGAUAAAACUAAUCUAAUAAAAUAGUGACGGCUUUUAUUGGUCACUAAAUACAUAACAUAGUGACGACUUUCGUUGAUUAGUGACAACAUUUAGCAACGAAGCGGAUCGUCACAGAUUUAGUGACGACUAUAUUUUAGUCAAUGUUUAGUGACAAUAUUUAUAUUGGUCACAAAAUCGGUUUUCUGACGGACCUAUAGUGACGAAAAAUGACGACCAAAAUUUUGGUCACUAAAUCAUUUAGUGACGACUUAUUCUAUUGUUAGUGACCAUUUCGUUUUGGUCCCUAAUUGGCAUUUUUUUUUUUUGUAGUGAAUGGUGACUGCGACGGCAACAAUAGCUUUAUGACGGCAGCCACCACCUUACGGUGGUGGCGGUGGUUUCCCUCGUUUCCUAUUCAAACAGCUACACAUACGAAAUAACACAAACCACUCGGAUUUGAAGCAACAGCGCACUCGCGCCUACGUGAAACACGAACAUGGAGGAUGGAACGCACGCUACAACCACCCUCGGGGUGGUAGAUGUUGACCAGAGCAACGGUCGUGACUGCUUGAGGUGCCAAAGAUCCAAGAAGAACAACCCAUCCACGGCAUGUGGCGAUCCUUCUUCAGCUGUUCACGGCUUCUCCGGCGGUGCUCAAACUCGACUGGCUGCGGCUGCAACAGCUUCUCUCGUAAAACCCCUCACAAUCUCGGCGCCAAAACCUUUGACCCGACGAACACAUGGUGGAAUUCCAGUCGUGCUAGGCGGUCGGAAAACGAACGAAAGGAUGGAGGCGAUUGAGCAGCUGUGGAGGAAAGUGGGUGACGGCUGCAACAUAAGGGCUCCUAGGGUUAGGGUUCCCGAACAGUGACGGGCUUAUACACCUGGUUACUUCCAAACUUCCCAUAAUAUACAAUUCUAGCCCCUCUUUCUCCUAUUUUUUUUCAAUAUAACUCCUUUAUUUACAAUUUAGACCCCAGCUCCUAAAUUCAUUUCAGAAUAAGCCCAAAAGUCACUAAACAGUCCCUCCUCCACAAUAUAUUAUCAAUUUGAAUCCAAUACUUACACUUUUAGCCCCUGAUUGCAUAAAAUCUUUUUAAUUUAAUCCCAAGAACAUUUCUCAUACAUACGUUGUUUACUGUUUUAAAUUAAUUACUUUUUUAUUGUAGCGGUACAUUGCUUAAGGUUACUUUGUUUGGAGUUUAAGCUCGUUAACUAUCAUAUUUUAUGCCGGAAAAAAAACUCUUUUAUUUAAUUACCCAGUUUGCUACACACAAUAAUUGGAUUGGUUUGUGCCAUUAGUGUAAUAUUUACUUAUUAAAUAAAAAGAGUUUUUUUAUUUGAUGUUUUUUACUGGUCAUGGUGGAGUUUCAUUUUAUUUGGACGCAUCUAAUUUGUUUAUUAAUGCACUAGGUGUAAACCCGUGUACUACACGAGUUGAUUAAAGAAAAUAAAAUAUUAAAUGAAAUAGUAAGUAGUUUUUAAAAUAAAAUUUUGAAAUAAUGAAUGGGUGAACAUAUUAAUUGUUAUUUAGUAUAAUAUUUUUUGCAUUUGAUAGUUUACAUAUAUAAAUAUAAAUAUUAUGUGGCUUUUUAAUUUUAAAAGUUAGAAAAACCAUAAAUUGACAUGUAUAUAUUUUUUAUAUUUAAAAAAUAUCACAAAAUGACAAGUAUCAAAUUCAAGAUUGACAUAUGACAAAAUUAUCUUCAUUUGUUAUGGUAGAUAUCUUUUUGAGACUAACAACUAAUCGAAAAAGUUAGUUUGGUUAUUACAAUCUUUUAGUUUGAUGAAUAACUCUUAAUCGUGUUCCCCUUCAUAUUUUCAGGGAGAUAAAAAGUUUGAAUGUAGUAUAACUGUAAUUCUGAUUCAUAUUUUUUUCUUAUAAUGAUGAGUUUAAAGAUGAUUAUGAAAUAAAAAUGUUUGUGAUAUCAUGGAGCCAUUAAAGGUAUAUUAUCACUUUUAAAGUUAUUUAUUAUUAUUUUUUUAUAUAAAAAGUUUUUUAAUCUACUUUUGGUAUGGUUAUAGAAAAGCUAGUUUAUUUUACUCGGAACACUCUAUGUAAUUAGACAGGUCUAUCCUUGGUUUUAUGAUACUUCUACUAGACGUGGAAAGAAUGUUAUAGAGGUGUACACUUUACAAUAUUGAUCAUACAUCUAAUUCCCAAAUACACUUGUUUGCUAAAAAUUACCGACGGAAUAACUCGCUAUCAGAUUAUCGAUAGAUUUUAUGUGACAGGUUAGCGGCAAAUUUUUGCAUUAUAAAAAUAUAUAUAUAAAUUCAUGAAAUAAUUAACAAUAAUUACAUAUUCAACAAAGAAAAAAUCAUGAAACAUACAUCAACCAAAAGGGUAUUUAUUAGUCAUUAGUUCGUUGGUGACUUUACUUCUCCAUAGAAAGACUAAAACUAAAAACAUCUUGAAAAGUAAUUCCACCUUGAGGACCCACCAACUCCAUUUCUAACAACAAUGUUACUUAGACUGUCACCAUUGAUGUCAAUGUUUGUCUGUGUUCACUCCGCUAUACCAAAACCACUCAUAUUUGAUAUAAGUUAUUUGUUAUAAUGAAAAUAACUGCUUGUGAGAGCAACACUUUGUUGUCUUCCGAAACAUCUUUCCCAAGGAACACAAUCCACUUCGCAUCAGAAUUGGUGAUUCCGAUUCCAAUUCCGAUUCCUCCGAAUUGAAAACACGCCUUCAGAUCAACAAUCUCAUAUUAAAUCAAAUGAAAAAGAUUGGAAAUUUGAGCAAAUUGAGAUUCAAAUUAACACACCUUUGUGCCCUCAAUCACCCAAUACUGUAUUCCCUUUCACACUGCAAGGAGGAUAAACGUAACAAUCAGAAAUGAAAACACAGCAUUACUGGAUUUUUUUGAAUGACCAUUUAAACCUUGGACCAAAACUAAAACAAGCGGUAUACUACAGGGACCAAAUUUAUUGAUAUUUAAGGAAUAAACAUGUCAAGAACUACUGAUCAGAUCUGCAACUUCCGUCAAGAUCGACGUCAUCUCCAAACAUUAUUCAGUAAAAAUGGAAUAAGAUUUCAGAUUUAGACCCUACUGAAACGUUACUAGAUAUAGCAAUAAAUUGGAAAGUUGAGCAUUAAAUAUUUAUUGGCAUCAAAACAAUUACAUAAGAAAACGUUUUAUAAACUUACCUUGGAAAUAAGGUGCAAGGGCCUCAGGACAAACCCAAAAAACCGACUCUUGAAAUGCUAUGAACACCUAACUGGUACCGAUCUGAUUCUACUUGACUGACAACAGAUCAAGCAAUAGAGUGAGUGACAGGCAAACAACAUAAACUUCGAAACACCAAAAAAAGGACAAAACAGCUUGAAAAUACAUGAUUCAGAAUGGUAUAAAUUAAAGUAUCAAUUAACUUACAUGUUUAUUGUUUUAAAAUGUUGCGGAUCUUUGCUAGUUUUUUGAUCUAUGUGCAUGAUAGAGAAUUUGUUUUUGAAAUCGACACAAAAAGGUUUUGUUGAUUAUCAAGACUGAAAAAACGCAGAUCGAUAACUUUAUCAAAAGAAUCCACGAUGUUCAGAUAUCCAUAUCCUCCUGUGCCAGUAGUUGAAUAGUUUGAAGAUAUAGAAAAAAUAUAUCGCUUACAUUUGGAUGUUGGAUUGUUGGAUCUAGAUUCACAGGGUAGAUUAUGACAGCGGCUGUGAAAUCGUAUGAAAAUGAAACUGAACAUCUAAUAUAUAUAGUAAGAAAAGUGUGGGCGUGAACCCUAACCCUGAUCUCAAGCCAUGGUGAUUUGCAUCAACCUCCCCCUAAAAUUGUACAUAUCGUCACAUACAGCCCAACCAUUACCCAAAAUGACACUUUUGUUUCUUGAUGAAUAAAGUGGUAAAAGCUUUUUUAUUUGUAGUUUCUUUUAACACAUCUUAAAAAUUUCUAAAUGGCCAUAUAUAAUACUCCUUACUAUACAUAAGUAUUUUUUUUAACAGUUCUUAUUUGUAAAUGGCCACACUAUCAUUAUUUAUAUUUUUUUCAAAAACACUUGAAACAUUUUUCUUUCGUGUUUAAAUGAGAAUAUCUUCUAUCAUUUGAUAUUGUGAUUAUUCAAGGUUGAGUAUACUAUAUUCAUUUUUUAGUCUUUCAACAUGACAGGAUGUAAUUAGCACAAACUUAUUAUAAUGUUUGCCUACGGAAUUAUUGGUUUCAGGAAAAAAUACAUUUUGAUUAUGUUAAAUGAAAUCUUAAUAAUAAUGUAUACCGUCAAUUAUAUUUAUUUUAAAAUUAAAUUUUGUGAAGAAACUGAUGUAACAUUAAUUUAGUGGUCACCGAAUUUUGGUAAUGCAACAAAUUUAGUGACUAAUGCUAUAAUGGUCGUCACUCACCGGUCACUAUACGGUAAAAGUAAAACCAAAAUAUAUUUUCCGCAUCCAAAAAAGGUAUUAGUGACUAAAAAGGUGGUCACUAAAUUGAAGACUUAAUGAGAAAAAAAAGUGGUCACUGAAUUAAAGACUUAUGAAGAUUUAAUGACCAAAAAGAAUGGUCACUAGCUCCUAUUUUUAUAUGCAUGGGCUGGGAAAAAGAUAGCGGACGUUGUCAAUGAAUUAAACAAAAAAAUUAAAAGUUCCACAAUACAGAUCAGUUUUAACACAAUACGAACUUUUGAAACAUUAUUAUUAUUAUUAUUAUUAUUAUUAUUAUUAUUAUUAUUAUUAUUAUAUAGACUAAAUCUAUAUAAAGAUCCUUAACUAGUAAUUAUUAUAUACAUAUUAAACUUGUCCUCAAACAUGAAUAGUGAAGUGGUGAACAGUUUGGCAAAAAUGGUCCCUUGAUUAUCGAAUUCUGGUAUAGGGGUAUUUUAUGGAAAAUAUUUUAUUUUCCGACCACGUGUUGGUCAUCGUUUGGGGUUUAUCCGCUUNNNNNNNNNNNNNNNNNNNNNNNNNNNNNNNNNNNNNNAGACACUGAUUCAAUUUCCUUUUAAUUAAUUUGCUAAUCGCUAAUUACGUCGGAUCAAGGUUCCUCUUUUGAUCCGCAUGCUACAGUGAUCAGAUCUGAAGUUGAUUUCAUUUGAUUGGAUCAUAUGCGCGUUCAAUUAUUAUUUUUCUAAUCUCAGUUGUUGACUUUCAGAGUUCUUAAUCAACUUCUUUCUAGGGUCAACAGAACUAAUCUAACUUGAAACAUGUCAACUCUAUGGAUGAUAACAGCCAUAGCCAUUGAAGAUGUGAGAAGAGAGGUAAAGAUAUUGCGAGCCUUAACAGGACAUAACUUGAAACAUGUCAGUUCUACAGAUGACAACAGCCACAGCCACAGUCGUAUCCUUCUUGACUAUCAUCAAAAUUAAAUCUUUUGCUGCUAUGUAUUUCACUUAAUUUUUAUUUUUUGCUGUUUGAAGGUUUAAGAAUUGUUGCCUUUUCAUUAUCUGAAUACAACUAACUACUUGCUUGUGACAUGCCUUUCACUAAUAUAGAUUGAUAUACAGAAGUACUACAAGGACACAAGUGUUCAUAUGUUGUUUCACACUCAAAUGGAAGAUCCCUGUUCAGCAUGCAUGUCAGUUUAUUUUAGUUUUAAUUUUUUGAGAGUUCAAAAUUCGUUGUCUUUUCAUUAUUUAAACUUCUUUUGGAACAGAUCACGCAAUGUUGCUGUAGACCAACUUACAAAAAAGAUAAGUGCCACCGUCAUUUUUGUUUGCAAAUAUCUUAAUUAGUUUUGAUGUGGUUUGUUUAUGUUACAGGAAAGUUUGGUGUUGAAGGACCAAAUAGCAGUUAUUUUCAAGUGAUAGCAAUGUAUGUGCAAUUUACGAAUGAGCCCCAUCUCUCUUUUCGUAUUCUUUUGUUCAUAAAAAUAAAUUUUAUAGAGCUAUCUAUUAAUAUAGGCUUAACAUAAACAUAAAUUUUGUUUUCAAUGCUACAUACAAGUUAGAAAAACAAAGUUUUUGUUCACAUUCAUAAAUCUUCAUGAUUUAUAAUGCUAUGAUAUGUUAUGUAUAUAGGUGAGAGAUAGGGCUUUUUUUGAAACUAGAUGAACUCUUGGUUGAAGAAACAUGGUUUAAAGUACUUCCUCGAGUGUGUAAAAAAAUCAUUUGACAAGAAAUUGAGUGAAUUUUUAGAGGCUGAAAUUCAACAAUCCAUGCAAAUCUAUCCUCCUUAAUAUCUAUGCUCUAAAUUCAACCCUAUUUUACAUUGUCAAAGUUGUAAUCUAUGGUCACCUGUCACCUAAAUCAAUUUUGUGAAUGAAUUUGAUUUUCAUUUAUGUUGUAUUUUCUUAUCUGUUGAAUUGUAGUUGUUGGCGGACAGUUGGGAGACUUUGAAUAACAGCUAUUGUACAGAUAAUAUGAAUAUGAUGGUGAGAUCCAUCCAUUCACUCUUUUUCUUCAACACCCCUAUACAUAUUUGGGAUUUUCAGUUUUUAAAUUAGGGUUCUAAUUUUUUUUUCUUUUGCAAUCUGUUAUUGAAGGUGAGGUAGCUUUCAUUCUAGGAUUUAUGUUUUUUCUAUAAAAAUUCAACCCCAUCAAUCAAGAAUACAUACAUGGCGAUUAUUUUACAAAAUAUUUCCAUAACAAAGCAGCCAUAGAGCGAACGAUUGCAGCUACUGUAUAGUUUCUUGCACCUUUGUUUUUGUUGUGUUGUUCACUUACCAUAUUCUUACUUUAUUUUUUUCCUACCUAACAGGUGAAGUUCACAGCUGAGCAGCUUCGUAAGAUCACGGACUACAAGCAUAACAUCUUCAAAGAUUGCGAUCAUUCUCUGCCUGCUUCCAUCAGCGAUUGAUUGGAUACGCGGUCAUUUGGUAGGUUGCAUAUUUGGUCCUUCUAUUUAUCACAGUUACUUAGUACCAAUGUCGUCUGUUGAUUCCUGCUUCAGAAUUGGACUUCUCAUACGUUCACUGAUAUGGGUUCAAGCCAACUGUAUCAUAGGUCAUUUAGGAGAUCCCAGAUGAUAGCUUGAAAAUUAAUAUGAUAUUAUUCUUUAGUUGUUAGAUAUAUAUAUGUAUAUAUAAACUUCUAAUACUAAUUUUUCCAUGAAAGCGGUCGUAGAUGACAACUUGAAAUUUGACAUGACAAGGACUUCAUCUAUGACGCUGAAGCCAACAAACCUGAGGGCUACGAUGACAUCUUAAAGGUGAUUUAGAUUCUGAUGCGAAAAAGGUAUACACACUUUAAUUUCUAUUUCCAUAAUUCAUGUUACAUUUUCAUUUUUUAGUUUUUAAUUAUAAUGAGCUAGAACUGUGGUGAAAAGUUUGAGAUGACGAGUAAGAUGGUGAGUGGCUGUUGGCUUAUUAGUUUGUUUGAUUUUGCAAGGGGUAUAUAUAUGAAAUCCUUCACUGUCACAAGAAAUGUUGCUGAAAACAUUAAAAUUUGAUGAUUUGUAGACAUGAAGUGAAUUACAUGCUCUACUAAAGGUUGGAACUUAGGUGACAGUGGCGAACGAAAGGAUUAAUAUUUGUUGGGUUUAAAAAAAGUAUGUGAUCAGUGGCAUACGAAAGGAUUAAUAUUUGUUUUUAACAAAAAGGCAUGUACAAACAACUGAAGUGUCACUCAAAAUAUAUACAGAUACAUUAAUAUUUUGAUAUUAUUUAGUAAUUCAAGGUUGUAUCUCUCAAUAUUUCCGUCUUUAAUGUAUAUGUAUACAUUUUGAGGCAUAGUUGCUGUUGUUUAGAGUUUGUUAAGAGGUUUUGUAUUUGUUGAAUUUACAAUUUUAGAUUGUUACUUUUGUUAAGAGGUUUUGUAUUUGUUUAGGCAUCCAUUCAGCAACUGCUGUUACAUGCAAUUGUUCUUCCUUUCAUUGUCUACUGUUACAUGCAAUCGUUCUUCCUUUCAUUGUCUGCAGUUGUGUCCAUUUGUAUCUUUCUACAUUUGUUUUUUUGGUGGAACAUCUUUUUUCCAUGUGCAUUGGUAAUACUUUUGAUUACAUAUAUUUCCCUUUUUGUUGAUCGUAAUUGUUGAGGUUGGUGAUGCAGUUUUUAAGGUGUUUUCUAUGGUAACCGGAAAAAAUUGUCACAUCCGAACCUCGCAACGCGGGGUUCCCCACCUAGUUAACUAUAAAUAUGUUGGACUCUCGAAAGUUUGAAACUACAUAACCCAUUCGCAGGUUGACCCGUCAAACCAUUUAAUAUAUUAACAUUAACAAAAAAUAGUUUUGUUAUAGGAAAUCCUAAUGGUAAUGCGGUACAGACCGUGAUGCCCUUAGACUUGAGGGAGUGGUUGCGGUAGAGACCGCAGUCUCCCUGCCACCUCAGCAUGAACACCGCCCCUCCACCGCGGUUUGGGUGCGGUGAAGGCCGCACCACAGUAAUCCCUAGCAGCACUCCCCAUUCUCUCCCUCCUCUUUUACUCUCUCUCUCUCUCUCUCUCUCUCUCUCUCUCAACCAAUCAUCUUCUUUCUUUUCUUCUUUCUUUUCUCUCUCCAAACCUUUUUCCCACUCCUACCGUGUGGUAUGAAAUUGAUGAAAUGAGAAAAUAUAUGAGCUGACAUCUACAUGGCAUAAGAGGGAGUGCGGUUUCAGUGACACCACUCCCUCUAGCCCAAUGACUUUGAUUUGCAGUUUGCCCUAAAUCGAGGAUCCAUUAAUUGGUACAUAGCAACUAACAUGCAUACUCCAAGUCCAUAUGCUGAUACACUAGUAGGCGAUAACCCUAUAUGUAACAACACCAGCGACUGUCGACGGCUCGAUGUACCUCCUCUCGUCUGUCCAUAACUCCACCGGCGUCGUUCAUCCUCUCCCGUCAACAUGAGAUCUAGAGACGCCGAUACCUGAAAAGAUCUCUAACAUCAAGUCAAGAAGAAAAGGAGCAUCGCUACGCUUUGCGUGAGGUCAAUUCAAUAUGUAUUUUCUGAAUUAGCUUCAUUCUGCUUUUUAUUUUCAUUCAAUUCAAGAGUGUAAUUGUUGAAUUGAGGUAAGAUGAAAUUGGGGCUUUGUGUUUAGACAUUGAAGAAUUUGUAUCUGUUUUAUACUUAUGAUUUUGUGAUUUUUCUUCGUUUAGUUGGACUGUCGUUUGGAUGAGAGAUAGAUAACAUGUGAUCUAAUAUUUUUGUUGUUUAAUUCUAGCCUUUUGACAGAUUCAACACUUUAUGGACAUCCAACCAUAUGUAGGAUUAUUUAAGUGAAUGGAGGUAAGGACUCUAUAGUGAUCAACUCAAUGGUAAUAUCAUACUUCUAAAUAAUUUCUUAUGUAACUUAUUAUGCUGCUAUUUUUUCCCGAUUCAACAAAAAAUCUUCAAUUUUGAGUCUCCGAGACAUUAUGGUACCUCAUUGACCUGUUCUGCAUCAUGAAGUAGUAUUGAAAAUACAUUUUGUUAUGAAGAAGAUGUCGAGGAAGUAAAUAUUGAAAAUUUUGAGCUCAACUCAGAGUAUUUUGUAAAAUUUUGAUAGGUUUAAGCAUGAACAUUUGGUUUUCAACAUGUUAUUACUAUCCUUUAAGCCUUUGAAUGUACUGAAGCUCCUACUAUUGUCAAUAUAUCAAAUAAUUAGUCAAUGUUAAUUCAUGAUGGAACUCUUUUCAUUAUCAGGGUUUAUUUGGUGAUUCUAAAAAGGAUAAGUGGUAGGAAAUGGGGCUGUCAAAAACAAAAUCAACAGACAUAUAAAGUUGCAAGGUAAAAUGUUUGAUAGUAUACUCCCUGCAAUGAAUUAAGCAUAUGGAUAUGAUUAUCUUUGGUUGUUUGGUUAACAUGUUUUGUUCAAACUUUAUAUAGGGUUUUGUAUGCUAUUGAUAUGGUUAUCUUAUUGUUUAUAAAAUCAUUUCUAGGAAUUGUCCCAAUGGAGUUGAUAGAUGCCUUAACCCUUAGUGUUGAUUUUAGUAGGUGAUUAAGUAAACCUACAUGUGAUGGAUGGACUUCUUAAUGAUGAUGACAUUCAUCAACCGAAUUCAGAAUCUUCUCAAAAAAUUGAAUCAUGGCAUGAUUGUACUAAUUAUGAAUCUUCUCAAGUUAGUAUAUAAAAUAUUAAUAGACAUGCAUGUUAUUAAGAACCAGACUAAAGCUACAUGUUUGAUAUUAAUAGUUGCUAAACUGAUGCAAAAUGACUUAAUUUUUCCUUGUGCCCUUUAGCUUAAAGUUCCAUAUGGUAUUUAUCUAGUAGUUUCUUUAUUUGAGUAAUUAUGUGGUGUCUUUUUACAAGAAUUACUAAACAGAAAUGUAUUGGUGUCCUGGAUUAAUUGCUCCCAAGUCUUUUUUCAGGUAUACAAAUUUUACUUGCAAAAUGCCCAUGAAAUCAUAACAAAUGUCUAUAUUAAACAUUGGUAGUGAUAAUCGAUUCUUUUUUUUUUCUUGCGAAAGUUCAAGCACUUCCUCAAAGAUCUACUGAAAUAUGAUGCCCAAUAUUAACUAACAUAAGAAAAGGAAACAAAAAUAGGUUAGUUUUUAUAACACUAUAAUAUCAGAUAAGGCUGCUCUUGAAGCUAAACCUAUAGUUGCCCCACUUAUAAAUAAGAUGAAAAGGUGGUACAUGAUUGCCAAAGGUAUGUAUUUUCAUCCAUUCCAGUUAUAAUGAACUAUAAUCUAUUAUAGGGAAUAGUAAAAAUAUAUUUUGUUAACAUAAAUUUCUAUAACAUUUGAAAAGUAGUGUAUGUUUUGCUUUAAAGUUCUUUUAUCUUGCAAUAUAAAACAAUAUAACAACUGUUACACAUUUAACAUGCAGUUUAAAGAAAGUAAAGUCUAACUAAAGGCUCCUAAACUCCAACCCCAACCCCAACCCCAUCUACACCUUCUAUCAUUCAAGCAUGAGAGUUUCAAUCAAGUCAUGGAACUGAGUUUCUUAGCCGUGUAAAGAUGAUUGUUAUAUCACAAGUUACCUAUUGGUUUUGGAUGGUAAUGCCUCUUUCGUUACCUAAUGAACAAAAUAUUCAUAUCAAUUUAUAGUAAACAGUUACCAUUGGUUGUUUGAUUUUGAUUGGUUUUUUAGGAAUCUGUUGUCCCCAUUAAAGACCAUGAAUUUGAUGAAUAGUAUGAUGGGAAUGUAAAUAGGAUUAGGAUUCCAUAUUAUUCCAUAACAAGAUAAAAAAAAUUUCACCAGUGUCUAUGUUUUUCAAAAAAAAACAAGAAACUAUCAAAUUCUUUUUUAAGGAUAUUAUAUUUUUGGUCCGCGAGUAUAGUCGAUUUUUUCAUUGUUGGUCCUUGUAGUUUUACGAAAUCUAGGUUUAAGAUGAAUAGUAUGAUGAGAAUGUAAGUAGAAAAAUGUUGUUUUCGUCUAUUUGGCGAUUACAAUUGCAGGAUAUACAAAUCUAGUGGUAGAUAUGCUCCAUCAUAGAUAUAUGUUACUCAAUAUGUAGCACAAGUCAGUAAUGAGGCAAAUCAUUUAAUAUUUUUUAUGGUAAAGAUGUUGAAUCCAUCUUCUUUGAAUAUCUUGUAUAAUCCUACUUUUUAUAUCCUUUUAGUAAUUUAAGUACUGUAUACUUUGGGAUCUAUUAAAUUGGUGAACAAUUUAUGUUUAUUAUUUCAUGUGAUUAAUUUUUGAUAAAUGGAUCACAUUAUAUCUUUACCAUUGACUAGUUUCAUGCUUGUUACUUAAACUAGUUAAAUAUAAGAAAUAGUAACAAAAAUAAAUGAUUAGCUAUUUUCGUAACUAAUUGGAUAAAUCACUGACGACUUUUGGUGGUCAAUACUUAGAUAAACAAGUGACGACUCUCUAUGGUCACUAAUCGAAUAAGAUAGUGACGACUUGUUCUGGUCACUAAUUAGAUAAAACAUUGACGAAUUUUAUUGAUUAGUGACGACAUUUAGUGACAAAAUGAGUCGUCACAAAUUUAGUGAACAGUAUAUUUCCGUCACUAUUUAGUGACCGCUUUUAUAUUUCAUCGCUAAUGAGUUGUCGUGACGGACCUAUAUUGACGAAAAUUGAUGACCAAAAGUUUGGUCACUAAAUAGUUUAGUGACAAGUCUUUCUAUUCUUAGUGACCAUUUUGUUUUCGUCACUAAUUGGCAUUUUAUUGUAGUGAAGGUAAAAUUGUACGAAUAUUUAUUGUUUUACAUUCCCUCGAAAUAAAAUCUAUAAGUCUAAGAAAGCUCAACGAAAAAAAUUCAAUUUUAUGAAUGG
rnacentral:lncRNA from 1 species